rnacentral:rRNA from 1 species
CUACGGGAGGCAGCAGUCGAGAAUCUUUUGCAAUGCGCGAAAGCGUGACAAUGCGACGCCGUGUGAGUGAUGAAGGUCUUCGGAUUGUAAAACUCUGUCAACCUGGAUGAAAGCUUCAAUUCUAACAGAUAUGAAGUUUGACGGUACAGGUAGAGGAAGCCACGGCUAACUCCGUGCCAGCAGCCGCGGUAAUACGGAGGUGGCAAGCGUUGUUCGGAUUUAUUGGGUGUAAAGGGUAUGUAGGUGUCUUGGUAAGUCUUCCUUGAAAUAUAUCGGCUCAACCGGUAUCCCGGGGAGGAAACUACUAGGAUUGAGUACUGGAGAGGAAAGCGGAAUUCCUGGUGUAAGGGUGAAAUCUGUAGAUAUCAGGAGGAACACCAACGGCGAAAGCAGCUUUCUGGCCAGAUACUGACACUGAAAUACGAAAGCUAGGGUAGCAAACAGGAUUAGAUACCCUCGUAGUC